rnacentral:lncRNA from 1 species
UGUAAUUUUCCAUAUUUCCUUAGAUGCUCAAUUGGUAGUCAGUGGAGAUAUACUGAGUUCCUACAUACUCCAUCUCUUGUCAGUUGGAACAAAUUGAGCUCCUACGUGCUCUAUAUAUUGUCAAUUACCAAUAGAGUAAUAAGUGGACUAUGAGGAGAUAAAUCCUUAGUAAAAGAGACUUACCAUUAUUAAUAAGUACAAAAGGAGCAUUUUGGAAGCAUUAAUA